rnacentral:rRNA from 1 species
AUGGCCUCUACAAACCCUUCCUACUACCAGAGUGGUGUUUGCCAAGACAUCAAACACAAGGAGCAUCUCUUCCACUUAUACAUGAACCAGAUCACAGAAGGAAACCCAAAUGCCAACCAAAAAAUAGUUGUCAAUCCAGGUCUUCCAUUGGGGUUUGGUAUCACUGUUGCAAACGACUGGGUCAUACGUGAUGGUCCGGCCGCUGAUGCAAACCUUGUUGUACGUGCUCGUGGCAUGCACAUGGGUGAUGGUAAAGCCGACGAGAACUGGUUAUUCUGUCACAAUAUACUGUUCAUUGAUACAAGGUUUAAGGGGUCCAGUCUUAAGGUUCUUGGUGACUUCGUAAGCGGCAAAGAUAGUGAAUGGGCAAUUGUAGGUGGGACUGGAGAGUUUGCAUAUGCACAAGGUGUUGUUGUCGCCAAAGUAAUUCAAAAUAGGAGAAUUUGCAUUUGA